ACGGGUGAGUAAUAUAUCGGAACGUACCGAGUAAUGGGGGAUAACUAAUCGAAAGAUUAGCUAAUACCGCAUAUUCUCUGAGGAGGAAAGCAGGGGACCUUCGGGCCUUGCGUUAUUCGAGCGGCCGAUAUCUGAUUAGCUGGUUGGUGGGGUAAAGGCCCACCAAGCCGACGAUCAGUAGCCGGUCUGAGAGGAUGAACGGCCACACUGGAACUGAGACACGGUCCAGACUCCUACGGGAGGCAGCAGUGGGGAAUCUUCCGCAAUGGACGAAAGUCUGACGGAGCAACGCCGCGUGAACGAAGAAGGUCUUCGGAUUGUAAAAUUCUGUGAUUCGGGACGAAAGGGUUUGUGGUGAAUAAUCAUAGACAUUGACGGUACCGAAAAAGCAAGCCACGGCUAACUACGUGCCAGCAGCCGCGGUAAUACGUAGGUGGCAAGCGUUGUCCGGAAUUAUUGGGCGUAAAGCGCGCGCAGGCGGUUUCUUAAGUCCAUCUUAAAAGCGUGGGGCUCAACCGUGGAGGGUCAUUGGAAACUGUUAAACUUGAGUGCAGGAGAGAAAAGUGGAAUUCCUAGUGUAGCGGUGAAAUGCGUAGAGAUUAGGAGGAACACCAGUGGCGAAGGCGGCUUUUUGGCCUGUAACUGACACUGAGGCGCGAAAGCGUGGGGAGCAAACAGGAUUAGAUACCCUGGUAGUCCACGCCGUAAACG
rnacentral:rRNA from 1 species